CUAAGUUUGAUGGCGACCGGCGCACGGGUGAGUAACACGUAUCCAACCUGCCGAUGACUCGGGGAUAGCCUUUCGAAAGAAAGAUUAAUACCCGAUGGCAUAGUUCUUCCGCAUGGUGGAACUAUUAAAGAAUUUCGGUCAUCGAUGGGGAUGCGUUCCAUUAGGCAGUUGGCGGGGUAACGGCCCACCAAACCGACGAUGGAUAGGGGUUCUGAGAGGAAGGUCCCCCACAUUGGAACUGAGACACGGUCCAAACUCCUACGGGAGGCAGCAUG
rnacentral:rRNA from 1 species